AGCGAACGCUGGCGGCAGGCCUAACACAUGCAAGUCGAACGAACCUUUCGGGGUUAGUGGCGGACGGGUGAGUAACACGUGGGAACGUGCCUUUAGGUUCGGAAUAACUCAGGGAAACUUGUGCUAAUACCGAAUGUGCCCUUCGGGGGAAAGAUUUAUCGCCUUUAGAGCGGCCCGCGUCUGAUUAGCUAGUUGGUUGAGGUAAUGGCUCACCAAGGCGACGAUCAGUAGCUGGUCUGAGAGGAUGAUCAGCCACAUUGGGACGGAGACACGGCCCAAACUCCUUCGGGAGGCAGCAGUGGGGAAUCUUGCGCAAUGGGCGAAAGCCUGACGCAGCCAUGCCGCGUGAAUGAUGAAGGUCUUAGGAUUGUAAAAUUCUUUCACCGGGGACGAUAAUGACGGUACCCGGAGAAGAAGCCCCGGCUAACUUCGUG
rnacentral:rRNA from 1 species